rnacentral:rRNA from 1 species
CCUACGGGUGGCAGCAGUGAGGAAUAUUGGUCAAUGGACGAGAGUCUGAACCAGCCAAGUAGCGUGAAGGAUGACUGCCCUAUGGGUUGUAAACUUCUUUUAUAUGGGAAUAAAACGUUCCACGUGUGGGAUUUUGUAUGUACCAUAUGAAUAAGGAUCGGCUAACUCCGUGCCAGCAGCCGCGGUAAUACGGAGGAUCCGAGAGUUAUCCGGAUUUAUUGGGUGUAAAGGGAGCGUAGGUGGAUUGUUAAGUCAGUUGUGAAAGUUUGCGGCUCAACCGUAAAAUUGCAGUUGAAACUGGCAGUCUUGAGUACAGUAGAGGUGGGCGGAAUGCGUGGUGUAGCGGUGAAAUGCUUAGAUAUCACGAAGAACUCCGAUUGCGAAGGCAGUUCACUGGACUGCAACUGACACUGAGGCUCGAAAGUGUGGGUAUCAAACAGGAUUAGAUACCCGUGUAGUC